rnacentral:rRNA from 1 species
AACGCGAAGAACCUUACCCAGGCUCGAAAUGCAGGUGGCGAUAUCAGAGAUGGUAUUUUCCGUAAGGACGCCUGUAUAGGUGCUGCAUGGCUGUCGUCAGCUCGUGCCGUGAGGUGUUGGGUUAAGUCCCGCAACGAGCGCAACCCUUAUCAUUAGUUGCCAACACGCAAGGUGGGGACUCUAAUGAGACUGCCUAGGUUAACUAGGAGGAAGGUGAGGAUGACGUCAAGUCCGCAUGGCCUUUAUGUCUGGGGCUACACACGUGCUACAAUGGUCGGUACAGAAGGCAGCAAGACCGCAAGGUGGAGCAAAUCCGUAAAACCGAUCUCAGUUCAGAUUGUAGUCUGCAACUCGACUACAUGAAGCUGGAAUUGCUAGUAAUGACGUGUCAGCAACAACGUCGUGAAUACGUUCCCGGGCCUUGUACACACCGACGCAC